ensembl:lncRNA
AGAGGCGGAGCCUGCAGGGGGCGGGGCCGGGGGUCGGGCCGGCUGGCCAGCUCAGGGCCUUCUGAGAGAUUGGCUGCUAGGCAACGCUGGGGGAGGAGCCAGGAGGGCGGAGCUACUUAGCGUUCGCUGUGAUGACGGACGGCUCAAUGUCUUGCUGGACAUACACAUCCUACAGGAUCUGAACCGGUUUGCUCAGGGUCUGUUGGAGCCGGUGGUUGCCGUGACGCUGCGGGACCCAGAGUGCAGGGCGCGGUCCAACAGCAGCCACUUCCUGUUGGCGUACCCGGUCAUUUCCUGUGGGACGGAGGGUGCGCUGCAGGGCCAUCCCAGGGGGGUGCAGUUCAAGAACACGGUGUUCAUCUGGAGAGAGCAGCCACGCCCCCUCCCUACAAACGGCCCCCAAACCACCGGGCCCCUGCGCAUUCAGAUCAGCUGUUUCUGUGCGUCUCCUCCGGAUGACGAUGAGGUCACCACCUCUCUGGGUGGGGUACCCCCGGACCCGGGCUUUGGGGGGGGGGACCUCCUCUUGGCCCCCACACUCCAGGCGGAGCCGGUCGGGGAUGGGCCAGUCGGUGCUGGGCCUGUCAGGGCUGGGCCGGUCGGGGCGGGGCCUGUCAGGGCGGGGCAUGUCGGGGCGGGGCAUGUCAGGGCUGGGCCGGUUGGGGCGGGGCAUGUCGGGGCGGGGCCUGUGAGGGCGGGGCCAGUCCUUGCCCUCAGACUCUUCGUCUCUGAGAGCUUCCAGAGGAGCCGGACCGGCCCCUGUGUGGUCAUCGCAGACCACCGCGUCUACGUGGAGAUCUCCUCCGCGGGACGCUUGGCCGGCAGCCUGGAGCUCCGGUCCUGUGUGGUGUCCCCCGAGUCGGACCCCAAGAGUGCCCCCUACUGGCCCCUCAUCAGGGACCGCUGCCCCGCCCAGCCCUCCCUCAGCCUCACCCAGCUCUGGAGAGGGGGAGGGCAGGGGGGAGGACCGGGGGGGAAGGGGGGCACGGGAGGGGGAGGAGGUGGGGCUGGGGAAGGAGGAGGUCGGAAGGGAGAGAGAGGGG